rnacentral:rRNA from 1 species
UACGAAGGGGGCUAGCGUUGCUCGGAAUUACUGGGCGUAAAGGGCGCGUAGGCGGAUACUUAAGUCGGGGGUGAAAGCCCAGGGCUCAACCCUGGAAUAGCCUUCGAUACUGGGUAUCUUGAGUUCGGGAGAGGUGAGUGGAACUCCGAGUGUAGAGGUGAAAUUCGUAGAUAUUCGGAAGAACACCAGUGGCGAAGGCGACUUACUGGACACAUAUUGACGCUGAGGUGCGAAAGCGUGGGGAGCAAACAGG